rnacentral:rRNA from 1 species
GAUGAACGCUGGCGGCGUGCCUAAUACAUGCAAGUCGAGCGAACGGACGAGAAGCUUGCUUCUCUGAUGUUAGCGGCGGACGGGUGAGUAACACGUGGAUAACCUACCUAUAAGACUGGGAUAACUUCGGGAAACCGGAGCUAAUACCGGAUAAUAUUUUGAACCGCAUGGUUCAAAAGUGAAAGACGGUCUUGCUGUCACUUAUAGAUGGAUCCGCGCUGCAUUAGCUAGUUGGUAAGGUAACGGCUUACCAAGGCAACGAUGCAUAGCCGACCUGAGAGGGUGCUCGGCCACACUGGAACUGAGACACGGUCCAGACUCCUACGGGAGGCAGCAGUAGGGAAUCUUCCGCAAUGGGCGAAAGCCUGACGGAGCAACGCCGCGUGAGUGAUGAAGGUCUUCGGAUCGUAAAACUCUGCUAUUAGGGAAGAACAUAUGUGUAAGUAACUGUGCACAUCUUGACGGUACCUAAUCAGAAAGCCACGGCUAACUACGUG